GGUGUGUUGAAUCUGUAUUUUUUGGCUAGCCAAACCUCCCACUCAUAUAGCAAUAUUACAAAAUUUCGCAAAAAAUAUAACACUUUUUCUACAAAGUAUUUUCCAUUGACCAGUAAUGACCAGAACACUUUUUUUUUACUUUUUGAAAGAUUAUUUCAAUAAUUUGUCGUGUGCAUUGACCUUGGUCGAAAGUUAUCAAAU
rnacentral:lncRNA from 1 species